rnacentral:pre_miRNA from 1 species
AGCUGCCACAAACCCGUAGAUCCGAACUUGUGGUGUCUCUGUGCACAAGCUCGUGUCUAUAGGUAUGUGUCUGCG